UACGUAGGGUGCGAGCGUUGUCCGGAAUUACUGGGCGUAAAGAGCUCGUAGGUGGUUUGUCGCGUUGUUCGUGAAAUCUCACGGCUUAACUGUGAGCGUGCGGGCGAUACGGGCAGACUGGAGUAUUGCAGGGGAGACUGGAAUUCCUGGUGUAGCGGUGGAAUGCGCAGAUAUCAGGAGGAACACCGGUGGCGAAGGCGGGUCUCUGGGCAGUAACUGACGCUGAGGAGCGAAAGCGUGGGGAGCAAACAGG
rnacentral:rRNA from 1 species